GCCAAUAAAUUUCAAGAAGAAGAAGAAGAAGAAGAAACCUGCCGUACUGUUGCAUUUACCGGCCAGACAUGGAGGCGUUAAUCCGCUGUCAUCCUCCUUCUGCGGUUCUAAAUCUGAACUUUGUAACGACCUGACUUGUUUGCAGGAAGGUGAGUUUUGCUCCUGACCAGUUUUGUUCAGUGGAUGUUAUUUUAAAUCCGGAGUUUCUAACGGAUGAUCAGCAGCGUGUUGCUUCUCCCGUAAAGAUGGCGCCGUUUCCAGCGGUGAACGUGGUUUUAACCGUUCAGUGAUGGUUUUCAGUGACUUUGCUGCAGCCGUUUCCAGCGAGGCUCAACCUGCCGUGGUUCUGUCCUUUCCUACACGGUUUGCUACAGAAAAGUUGAGGCAGUUUGAGGCCCCGCUGCGGCUUUUCCCGGCAGGGUUUUAGGCCUCAGGAUGAUGAUGAUGAUGAAGAACUGGUAAGGCUCUUCUUCCGCCAUGCAGCUGCUGUGGUUCUGUCCUCUGCUGCUGCGCCACCUGCAGGCUGAAUGGUGUAAAUGUUUCUGCAUGAGGAGCUCCUUUCUGAUUGGCCGGCUGCUCUGGCAGCGGCUGAUCGGGUCUGGUUGACUUCCUGCUGAAACAUCAGACCUGAUCAAACGAUCUGGAUAAAUACAGUAUAAAUAAAGUUUCUAUGUAACUCUGAUGCAGUAGAUGUUUAUGGACAAGGCUGCAUUAAACUGAUAUUAUGUAUUUUAAUAUAAAACUAUAUAGAAGAAGAAUAAAUGGUGGGAAAUAAAAAGUAGCUGAAAUGAUGGAUUUUUAUAUUGAAAAACAUUUUUUCUCCUGUAUGUUUAUAAAUUUAAAUGUAUUCAUAUAUUUUCUAAGUUUGAAAUAAAGAAUCUGAACUGAAUGUUUAAUUUUUUUUCUGUAACAUCGUCUCUGUUGGGAUGGGCAGCAUAAAAGGGAUCGUCACUAAUUAUAAAACAUAUUUAUACCUUUCAUUUUUUAUUGUCUGCAGCAGAGACAAACAUCAAUUCAGAGGUUAAAUAUAUUUAUAGGCAUCAUGAUUUACAUAACAGGGAAUUUGUUAGGUUGUACAUAUUCUCUGCAUUAAAUUGUUUUUUCGAAGUUAUUACAUUUAUCAUGGAACAAUGAUAAAACUUGAGUAUGAAGAUGUAAAUUUUAAUGGAUCAAUAAGUCAAUGAUUGAUGCUGGGGUUGUUUAAUAAUUUGCCAUUAGUUUUCUCUGCAUUUCUUAAAUGUAUUUUCCAUAACCAAUCAGAACAUUUUCAGUUAAUGAUGAUCAUGCUGUGCAGCAGGUAAUAAACUUCAAUAAAUGUUUUAAAUCCA